rnacentral:lncRNA from 1 species
AUCUAUAAUAUAGUAUUAUGUCAAACUAGAAGAUAUACAUUACAGGAGUACUGUCUGAAUAACAAAGUCCCGCUACAAAGUCUAACACACCACAGUCAAUCUGAUAAGCCUCUAAUAAUUACAGAACUGAUGAGCCAUUGGGAAAAAUCCCCAACUGACUCAACUGAAAUGAAAAGGAAUUAGACAACCCAAAGCAAUACUGAAAGUCUAAAUACUUGGCCCUCGAACAAUGAAGACUCACCAACUGCAAGGAUAUAGAUCAAGGUACUCGAUUAUCACUGUCGCUAUUGAGACAGGGUACCUGAACCUACAUUAUAAGAAAAUGUAGCCCACACACAAGUGUAUGGGUCAGUACCAUGGAAAUGUACCGAGCAUAUGGGGGAGUAUGGAAUUUAAAUAAAAUAUCAAAAGUCUUUAUAUAAAACAUGCAUGCUAUAAUAAAUGACUCACAUAGCUUGAAUUAAAUCAUCAUAAUCAUGAGAGAAGAAAUCACAUAAAAUAAAUCACGUGAGUCAUUGCACUUAGCUCAAAACAUAUAUACAUGUAUGUACUUUUCUUAUUUUCGAAACUGACAAUUCAAAGGAGUCUUUAACAUUAUCUUCAAAACUCGUAAUUCUUUACUAAAGGGAAUAUAACUUAUUUCAAAUCUCAAGACUUAAAAGACUUUAGAACUUGUAACUUCGGAAUUGGAAAACUUUAAACGCUUAUGAAAUUAGGAGUUUCUUAUAACCGACAUAAACCAUGUGAGCUACAUGAAGUCCAACGUCCAACCCACGUUGGGGAGAGCUGUCCCAUCCUUGCCGUCGGAGUAGGACUUUAAUCAUCAAUUCAAACACUAGUAAUUACUAUUUCAGCCUCAAGAUCACAUCCUAAGGAAGCACGUAGUUCUAGGGAAGUACCACACUUCCCGCUCGGUGCUAAAUACUACUCCUAAACUUAGCUCAGAACUUUAAUCAGCCUCAGGCUCACAUCAUAAAUAAUUUCAAUACUUUGCAUUCGGGAGCCAAUAUGCUACCCCUUUUAUCAUAAAUCAAUCAAAUGUGGAUUUCUUGUCUUAAAUCAAUAUCAAAAACAUCAAUCUUAAUUCAAAUCUUGGUAAGCAAUUUGCUAGAGGAAACUUAAAUUCAUAACAUUCUCAAAACCAAACUCAUUCUUGAUAUAGAUAUAAUAAUUCAAAACUUUCAAGAACAUGGUCUUAAAAUCUCAAUACCCUUCUUGAAACUCUUAAGGAAAUAUCAGUAACUCAUUCUUGGACUUAAAGCAUGUAUGCAUAUUCAAGUAAUAUUAGCCUUUAGGAUAGCAGUAAUUCAAGACUUCAACUUUAAAACUAUUCAAAACUUCAAUCAUGGUAAGAAUACACAAUUCAUUCAUAAAUUUUCAAUUCACAACACAAAAUAGAUGAAAUAGCAUAUAAUUCAAAGCUUGAUCAAAUCAUAAUCUCUUGAACUUAAAACAUAUCAACUAAGCAUAAUACAACUUAAAAAUACAAAAUUCUUUAAAAAAAAAAAACUAAUAUUUUGGGCACAAGAACGAAAGGAUUUUUCUUGUUCAAACCCCACAUACCUCAAAUUUGUGAGUUUAGAUGCUCUUACUUUUGAAACUCUAUUCGUAAAAUUGAUAGGUGCUCCUUGAAGCUCUUUCGAUGGGGAUUCCUAAUCUUCAAUUAUUUUUAAAUCCCUACUGUUGAAUUUGUGAGGAUCUUGAUCUUUAUUUUGGGAUUAAAGCAUGUUGCUCUUGAGUAUUUGGAGAAGAAGUAGUAUAUUUUGGAUGAAAUUAGGUUGAAUUUCGUGUUAGGGGUAUAUAUAUAGGGGUGGAAGAAGACCAAAAUGCCCCUAAACAAAGAGAGAAAGGUGCAGUUGUCCCUCUGUUGACUGUCUGACAGGCUAAAGUAAAUUGAUCAUAAUUUUUUACUCAGAUGUUCAAAUUGGAUGAAACCAAUUUAAUUGAAAAGAAUACUCAAAGAUAUUUUAUUUGAUAUAUAGAAGCUCUCCCAGUUCAUUAUAUACAGGAAUUUAUGGUUGUUUGAAGUUGACCCUGAAAUUGGGGCUGAAAUGCUCCAGGAAUGCGGGAGAAUUUCAAACCAGUGAGAUAUGCCACUGAAAUGCACCCAAAAUGUGCCCGGAAUGCAUCCAAGAUGUACUAUUAGGUUUUCCCAUCGCAACGCAACUUGAAAAUCUAAAAUCGGAUGUCGGGAAGGCCCUGAAAUAACUUCCCGAAGUUCGGAAGUUUAUGGAAAUGAAAAAAAAUUCCAACACAUAGCCAAAUUUUUAAGUGUUAAGCUUCUCUUGGCUAGCUUAAACGAGCCUUUUCGACUAGGAAAAUUUACGGGGUAUUACAGUCCAGUAUAAUUCAGUUUAGCAGUCAAGCAGACAAGUUGCUGUGGUUUUCCACCUUUUCACCCAGUUCUACUAUCCGAAGUCCAAUGCAUAUGACCAUCCUAAAAGAUAAUUUAUUCCAUCCGUGUAAGUUGAGAACUCAGUUCAGUUCAAGUAUCAUGUUUCAGAUUCAGUUAUUUAGUCAUGACUCAGUUCAUAUGAGUUCAGCACAAAAUCUUAAAUUUUUCCAGUUAUUUUAGCUCAGACAGUGUAAUACCUUUGUACGAUCUAAAUCUUGUUGCCUCAUGAUUUGUACUUACAUAAGUUAUCACUUUCAAAUCUAAUAUGUGUGAUUUGAGCAUAAACACUUUGGGAAGGGGGAUCCUAAACUCUCAGCAUGAAUCAGCUCCUUAAAACAAGUAAGGGCAAGUCAGCUCAAAAUUCAGUUUCAUGAUUGAAGUUUAAAUGUUUCAGAUCAGUUAUAUCCUUUCCUAGAAGACACAUCAUGUCUGCGUUAUUCCAUACCUUUAAACUUCAACGUUCCUACCUAUCAUUCGGGGAUGAAUGAUCCCAAGGGGGAGAUAAUGUAACACCCCGCAUUUUGGGCUAGAAUGAAAACCAUCAUUUCUAUGCGUAGAUGAUCCAAUAGCCAUAAAUCCUAUGCAAAUUUGGAAUUUUAAUCAAUUAUGUAGUGUGGGAACCUAUUUUAGCAUGAAUUGAGAUCAUAGAGGUCCCUUAACUCAAGGACGAGUUCAAAGCUUUCCUUUCGUUCGAGUUUGAGUGAGCGUCAAACUUGGGUCAACUUCAAUCGACCCUAACUAUUUGUAUAUAAUGAAUUAGAGGGCAUACUAUAUAUCAAAUGAAAUAUCUUCGAAUUAUCUUUCGAACGAUACUAAUUUUGCCAAAAUCCGAUACCCAAGCGAAAAGUUAUAGCCAUUUUUGUGACUGAGAUAGUAGCAUCAUGCGAUUAGCAUGCAAUGCACAUACCCAAUUUCCAGGUUCUAUUUUUGCGUUUUUAAGGUCAAAGACGGUAUUUUCCACCACCCCCUAUUCAUCUAUAACACGAGAUUAAAUCCCCCAAACACUAAAAUAAGGUCAUUCUCUCAAAAUAACCAAGAACACUUCUUAGGGUUUCAACCCAAAUAUCAAAAUAUAUUAAGAUUUCACCGUGGGUUUUUAAUAAUUCUUUGAGAUUCGGAAUUCUCAUUGUGAGGGCUACAAGAAGAACCCAUCAAUUGUUUGAAUAGUAUCCCUAAAGCACGAGUUCAUUCAAAAGUCAUAAAUUAAGGUACGUGGGGUUUUCCUAAAAAUUCAUGGGCAAAGAAACCUUCUUUAAUUCAUGCUAAAGGUUUAGAAAUCAUGAUUUUUCGAAAAGGGUUUGAAUUUUACUAUGUUUUAGAAGCCUUGAUUAAUAUUGCUUUGGUCUUUAGGCCUUUCCCCAAAUUGAUUUGGAAUUCUAUAUAUAUGUAUGCAUGUGUUUAAGGAUGAAUAUCAAUUGAGAGCAUGAAUUAUAAUGAAAUCCCUCUCUUGUUAUGAUUUUCCUUUGCUUAUGAUAUGCUAUGAAUCGUUUUGAAUGCAUUUUAAAAAGCAUGACAUGAAAUGUCUUGAUAUAUACUAUGACUUGAAUAUGAUUUUGGAAUCAAAAGAGAGGGUUGUACAUGUUGAUAAAUAUUGAAUAUACAUAUAAUGAAAGAGCGCAUAGUUUUGCCAAAAGCACAUGACCACCAUAUGUUUGAAGAAUUCUUGCAUAGUUUUGACUUAUGUUUCGGAAUAUGAAAUCUCUUAUACUAUUUGCCUGUUUGGUUGGUAUGAAUUGAGUUGUGAUGAAAGAAUCAUACAUGAUGCAUUAUGGCUCAGAAAUAGGACUUGCAAGUCUUGGUGCGAUGACACCGACCCAGAUAAUGCCAUGUUAAUUCAGAACAGAAUAGAAUGUAUGUUUGAAAUUAGAUUUUCAGAUUUUGAAACUAGAAUGGUGCAUGUUUUAGAACAGACUAAAAUUGGGCAUAAAGAGAGCUUAGAUGGUUUCCCGAAGAAGGCACGAGUUCAGACAACUCAUUGCCCAAAAUUGUGAUUUGUUGAUCCGGGUAUAUUAUUAUACGCUGGCCUAGUGCCCUGUGGCGUAUCAAACUCAGACACUCCAACCCUUGCGGCACACUUGAGUUGGGGGCUUUCCUGCCGAGUCAAUGGCGAAUUCCAUAUAGCCCGUGGAAUAUCAGACUUGUAGGGGAAUGCCACCUAAUUCAGAAUUAAUAUGAAGAAUAGAAUUGCAUUGACAAAAAGGUUUUAUGUUUUCAAAAAUGCCCAUGUGUUUUGAAAUUAUAUCUUUCAUGAUGUUUAUGACUAGCUCUCAACUAUUUAAUUUAUAUACAAGCUUUAUUUUGGAUUUCUUCGCGUACCAGUAUAUCUGUAUUGACCCCCUCCCUUUCAGGUUCUAAGGCUCAAUCUAGGGGUCCCGAUAAGCAAUAGAUUUUCUCCAGGCAAAAGUGCAGAGUCCCGUGGUGAGCCUUCUAUGUUUCAGAAGGCCUAGUUACUUCAGUCAUUUAUCAUUAGUAUGUUUUGUUCUACUAGAGGGCCUUGUCCCAGUUUUCAGACAGUUGGAUUUUUUGCAUGUAGUAGAGAUUUUGCAGACUGAGUCAGAUAUCAUUCGGAUUUUUUUUUGAAUUGCAGCUUUCAUUAUGAUUUGAAUUCAGAUUUAAUGACCAUGUUUCCAUUUCAAUAUAUAUUUCCGCAUUAUUUUUUUAUGAACAGUGUAUGUGAUUUCAAGUUAGAAGGGCGUCCUGGCCUUCAUGGUUCGGGAUGCUCGUCAUAGCGAGGACCCAGGCUCAGGUCGUGACAUAUCUUCACCAAGCCUUUAUCAGGGAAUAAAUUUAAACUUAUAAAGAAAAACAUGGAGUUUGCAACUCUUAAAGCAGGAAGGAGUGUUAGAAAAAUGCAUAAGAGCUGCAUCAGUAUGAAUUCUAUGUUAUCUGCUAGAAGUUAAUAUUAGUCAACAGUUAAUUAGUUUCUAUCUAAUACUUAUCCUUAUCCUUAGGAGUUGGUAACUUUUCCCGUUAAGAUUGUAAUUUAUAAAUAUGUGAGAAUUCUUAAUAAAGCUAUAGUUUUUGCUUUCAUCAACAUCUCUGUUAAUUUAUCAAACUCAUGUUCCACUUGUUUAUCAACAAGUAAAUUCAGUUUCUUAUGUUCUUCACUCUCUGCAAACUUACAUGCAUCUUUUGUAUCAUCAACUAUAUUUUCUAAGAAAGAAGUGAUUGAGCUUGCGAUGGGAUUAAGCCAAAGAAAAGAGAAGUUUCUAUGGGUGUUGAGAGACGCUGAUAGAGGUAAUAUCAUUAGUGGGAAGAUAGAAGAUUUGAGUUGCUAGAAGGGUAUGAAGAAAGAGUAAAGGAGUCGACUUAGAGGUUAGAGAUUGGGUGCCACAAGUUGAAAGCUUGGCUCAUUCGUCCAGAGGGGGUUCAUGAGUUAUUGCCCAUGGAAUUCUUGAAUAAAUAGCAUUACUAUGGGGGUACCAAUAGCUUCCUUGCUUACGCACUCUGAGCAACUACUUAAUGGUUUAUUUGCGAUAAAAAUCAUGAAAAUAGGCUUUCUCGUUAGACAGUGGGAGAAACUGAAGGAGCUUUUCACUUCAUCCACCAUUGAGCAUGUCUCGAUCGACGAAGUUAAUGGCAUUAGAAGAAGGUGACAAGAUUGGGAAAAGAGCAGAAGAAGUGGGAGCAGUAGGCUGUCCACAGAGAACGGAGGCACUGCUUAAUUGAAGAUAGAUUCUUUCAUUGGACACAUAAGUUGAUAGACUUAGUUUUUCACAAUCAUAUUGCAAUGGUUCUUGCUUUUUCUUUAGUUACUUUCUCAAAUAUUGUGUUUUUUGUUCAGAAAAGUUCAUGAGUAAAAAUUCUUAAAUGCUCCAGUACUACAGAAUGACAGAUAACAUAUAUUGUUUGUCUUUUGGAGUACCUAUAUUUUGGUACACAAACUCUUACAUAACAACAAUAUACCCAUUGUAAUCCUACAAGUGAGAUCUGGAGAGGGUAGAGUGUACACAGACUUUAUGCCUACCCCAGAGAUAGAAAUGUUGUUUCCGAUAGACAAAUUAUAUUACAUGUGUCUAUUGAAUCACACUACCUCAACAAAAGGGUGCAAUUCAGAAACAUAUAUGUAAGAAGUUCUAGAAGACAAGUGUCAAAAUUGUUUUGUCAUAAACCUUUUGAUGGACAUAGGAAUCUAUGAACAAUGUCCUUUGUCAUAAAAAAGACUAAUAUAGGACAUAUGGAUACAACCAAUUUAGCAUAGCAAACAACUGAGAAUGGUAUAUAAGAUCAUUAAGAGAGAUACGAAGCAAUACUCAUUGAUAGCCAUAAAGAGAUUCAGAUACUAACAUUCCAAGAUAUAAACUAGUCUGAGCCAGUAAGAAGACAAGGGACAAAGCCAUUAUUUGUCAGGUUCAUCCAUUCAUAGGCCAAGAAGCUACUGGUAGCCCGUGCUAAUGCUCACUAUGCAAGAAUUCCAGUCACAAUGACUCAUGAACCCACUUGUGGAAGAAUUAGCCAAGAUUUCUAGUUGUGGUGCCCAUUAUUUUACUACUAAGCCUACUCCUUUUACCUUUUCAUCAAACCCUUCUAGUAACUCGAAUCGUAUAGCUUCCCGGUAAAAAUAUUUCCUCUGUUGGCAUCUCUUAAAACCCAUAUGAAAUUGACAGUUCAAAAAUUAAAACGAUUACAAAUAGUAAAAAUCUCUAUUUUCACACAGUCACAUCAAGAAUCUCUGAUUUCAUAGUGAAAAAACAACUAAAUUGACAGUUCAAACAUCAAUGUAUAUACAUAUAAUAAGAAUCACUCUCUAAUUUCACAUAGCCACAUCAUUAAUAUCGGAUUUUCAUACCCGAAAAUAAUGAAAUUACUUUGAAAACAAGCAGAUCUCCGCGGAUAUUUUCAACGGUUUACGGUUAUUCAAGCAAAUGAACCUCUAUGAAAAAUCCACAAAUUCGCGCAAAUUCAGAGAUAAGAAGACAAACCGCAUUGAGAUUAGCGAUAUUGAGAGGGAGUUGUUUGUUACAGCCGAUGAAAUCGAGGUACUUUUCUAAGGUCAUUUUCAGUGAUUUCUUCAUCAUUCUGUACCUACUUUCCACCAUUUCCAUUUUCUCACUCUCUUUCUCUUUCUCCUACUGAUUUCGAGCGUGUUUGUGUAGUUUGUUUGUUUAAUGCAUUUUGAUAUCCAAUUUCCCAUGCCAGAUAAAUUGGACCACAUUAUUUAUCAAAUUUAAAGUGUAUAUGGCCUCGGAAACUUUCUGAAGUGAUAAUUUUC